CGCGUUCGCAGUGGAUAUUUUGGACACAUUACGGAUACUAAGUAUUUGUCUUGCGAAAGCCAGCAGCGUGCUUUUCCAAAAUUUAAAGUAGAUUUUUUGGAUCAUUUAUUACGGAAUUUGGAACUUACAAUUGAACGUUUUUCGGAGUAAAGACUAGUUCACUGGGAUUGUUCUAUUCAAUAUCUAAAGAUUUUGCUGUAACUCCAUCAUCACCAGGAGGGCCUGUCGCAUCAGGAUGCCCGACUGUGAGUAUCAGGAGUACGACAACACAACACGACUGACAAACAGCGAGAGAGUGUAAGAAGUACGACAACCCAACACGACUGACAAAGAGCGAGAGAGAAGGAAAAUGGAAUAGAAGAUGUGUGGACGAUGGAGUUAAGACGCCAUGAACGAAUGAUGAUGAACACUUUUUUCAUUUGCAAUUUUGUUCAUCUGUAAAUAUCAUCCAAAUGUAACAGUAUUCUUCACCAA